AAGGUCAGACUAAAGAUCUUACCUGACGAGCCGAGAGGUGGUGCAUGGCGAUCGUCAGUUCGUGGUGUGAACUAUCAGGUUAAGUCCUGUAACGAACGAGAUCCUUGUUGACAGUUGCUACUGGUUCUGCGAAGGAUCAGGCACUCUGUCGAGACCGCCUACGUUUAAGUAGGAGGAAGGAGAGGGCGACGGUACGUCAGUAUGCCCCGAAUCUCCAGGGCUACACGCGGCAUACAGAGGUCGGCACAAUGGGUUGCUACCCAGAAAUGGGACGCUAAUCCCCCAAAGCCGAUCUAGGUUCGAAUUGAGGGUUGAAACUCACCCUCAUGAAGUUGGAAUCCCUAGUAAUCGCGUGUCACCAACGCGCGGUGAAUAUGUCCCCGCUCCUUGCACACACCGCCUGCCAAGUCAUCCAAGUGGGGCCUUAGUGACGCAGCAUCCUCGUGGUGCUUUCGAACUAAGGUUCUGUGAGGGGGGCUAAGGCAUAACAAGGUAUCCGUAGGGGAACCUGUGGAUAGAUCACCUCAA
rnacentral:rRNA from 1 species